rnacentral:rRNA from 1 species
UGAGGAAUAUUGGUCAAUGGGCGAGAGCCUGAACCAGCCAAGUAGCGUGCAGGAUGACGGCCCUAUGGGUUGUAAACUGCUCUUAUGUGGGGAUAAAGUGCGUGACGUGUCAUGCAUUGCAGGUACCACAUGAAUAAGGACCGGCUAAUCCCGUGCUAGCAGCCGCGGUAAUACGGGAGGUCCGGGCGUUAUCCGGAUUUAUUGGGUUUAAAGGGAGCGUAGGCUGUCUAUUAAGCGUGUUGUGAAAUUUACCGGCUCAACCGGUGGCUUGCAGCGCGAACUGGUCGACUUGAGUAUGCAGGAAGUAGGCGGAAUUCAUGGUGUAGCGGUGGAAUGCUUAGAUAUCAUGACGAGCUCCGAUUGCGCAGGCAGCUUACUGUAGCAUAACUGACGCUGAUGCUCGAAAGUGCGGGUAUCAAACAGG